CCCUUAGAUGUUCUGGGCCGCACGCGCGCUACACUGUUUGAUUCAGCGAGUCUUAACCUUGACCGAAAGGUUUGGGUAAUCUUCUAAAGUCAAACGUGAUGGGGAUCGAUCAUUGCAAUUAUUGAUCGUGAAUGAGGAAUUCCUAGUAAAUGCAAGUCAUCAGCUUGCGUUGAUUACGUCCCUGCCCUUUGUACACACCGCCCGUCGCUACUACCGAUUGAAUGGUUUAGUGAGAUCUCCGGAUUGGCUCUGUAGGUCCCGCAAGGGAUUUAUUAGUAGCCAAGAAGCUGCUCAAACUUGAUCAUUUAGAGGAAGUAAAAGUCGUAACA
rnacentral:rRNA from 1 species